rnacentral:rRNA from 1 species
AUGGCUGCACCGAUCAACGGGAGCAGCGGCUGGACGCUGCUCCGCCCGCUCUGCCAGGGCGCGUCUGGUGCUGCUGUAUCUCUCGCGGAAGACGCGGCCUCCGGGGAGCUCUUCGUCGUGAAGUCGGCGGCUGCCGGGGAUGCCGCGCAGCUGCGCCGCGAAUGGGGCAUCAUGUCCGGCCUAUCCUCCCCGCACGUCGUCAAGUGCCUAGGGUUCCGCUCGAUCGGGGCGCUGGAUCACCUGCUGCUGGAGUUCGCGCCCGGCGGAUCACUCGCCGACGUGGCGGCGGCGCGGCGCGGGCUCGAGGAAGAAGCCGUAAGGGCUUACGCGGCGGACGUGCUAAGGGGGCUGGAUUACCUCCACGAGAGGCUCAUGGUGCACGGGGACGUCAAGGGAAGGAACGUGGUGGUCGGCGCCGACGGGCGGGCCAAGCUCGCCGACUUUGGCUGCGCGAGGGCGGCGGGUCAUACAAAGCAGCCGUUCGGCGGCACGCCGACGUUCAUGGCGCCCGAGGUGGCGCGCGGGGAGGAGCAGGGUCCCCCGGCGGACGUGUGGGCGCUGGGGUGCACCGUCCUCGAGAUGGCCACGGGCGGUCGCGUCCCGUGGGGUGACGCCGAUGAUAACGUGCUCGCCGUGCUGCACCGAAUCGGGUUCACCGACGCCGUACCAGAGGUGCCACAGUGGCUCUCGCCGGAGGCUAAGGACUUCCUGGGCCGGUGCUUGCGGAGGCGCGCCUCUGACCGUGACACGGCGGCGCAGCUCCUAGAGCACCCAUUCGUGGCACUGGCAACGCCAAUCAAGAAAGAGGAGGAGGCGGUGAAGAAGCGGACGUGGGAGUCUCCCACGAGCACGCUGGACGCCGCACUUUGGGAGUCAGACUUUGAGCCCGACGACGACGACAUGUCGUCGAAUAGCCCGGUCGGCAGGAUCAGGGAAUUGGCAUGCACCGGCCUGCCGUUGCCCGACUGGGACCCCGACCAAGGCUGGAUCGAAGUCUGCAGCUGUUAA